GGAAAAAGAACGAAGGGAACUGUACAGAAAGCAGAGACGGGUAGAGCUAAAAAAGCCACCCCAUCGCAUCUGCCUUCCUGCCUGUCCUUUCGAUAGAAUCUUUGGAUGUUAAGCUAUAAUUUUCUUUUAACCGUGAUUCUGUGAUGCCUACAUCCGUAGCUGUUCUACAAGUUCUUUUACCUUAGUCUGUACACUGUGCGCAUUCAAAUUUAACAUUUAUUCAAAUAAGUCCUGUAUUCGUCACCUUUUUACGUUGCAACUCAUCCUGUUGUCUGCAAUCAGUCCCUCUUUGCCAGCAGUCUCACUGCACACUGCCUGUUUGUAAACCAGCUACCCCAUCCUCACCCCAUCACUCCGAAUGCCAUUCCCCUGCCUACAGCUCUAGCAAACCUGCCCACGAGGAUAUUGGCCCCCCAAUCUAGGAUCAUUUCGUUUCUUAUCCUCGCUGACAUGACAUGGACAGCAGUUGCUACCCUACAUACAAACAUAGGGAAUAGGAGCAGGAGUCGGCCAUCCGGCCUGUCGAGACUCUGCUCCGCCGUUCAAUAAGAUCAUGGCUGAUCUGGCCAUGGACUUAUCUCCACUGACCUGCCUUUUCCCCAUAACCCUAAUUCCCCGACUAUGCAAAAAUCUAUCCAACAUUGCCUUAAAUAUACAUACAUCCACUGCUUCUGGUUUUCAGCUUGCUACCUAGCUCCCUAAAAUCUCUCUUCAGGAUCUCUUCUCUUUUCCUCCAUGAGUCAUUGGUGCCCAAACGUACCAACACUUCUAGCUGGCCAUCCCCACCACCUUUAGAAUGCCGUGGGCCCCUCUGAGAUAUCCCUGACCCUGCAGCUGGGAGGCAACAUACCAUCCGAGGUUUCUAUCGCGCCCACAGAACAUUGUCCCUAUUCCUCUAACUGUGGGAGCACCACUCCGUGUCAGAGAGCCGGUCAGUGUGUCACCCCCUCCGCAGCAUUACUGAGGGGAACCGACACUGGGCCUCCCAUUUCCCAUCCUUCGCCAGGUUACCUGCCUCCUGCAACGUAGGGGUGACUACCUCCCUAUCACUCCGAAGGCCAUUGAGCUGCAGCUCCAGUUCCUUAGCAAGUUCUGUCAGGAGCUGCAGCUCAGAGCACCUGGUGCAGGUAUGGUUACGUGGGAGACUGAAGGUCUCCUGGAAUUCUCACAUCUCCACACACAGAACAAAACCCUGCCCCUGGAGUCAUUUCACUGCACUAACAGACCAGGAAUAACAAGUAAUGAAGAAGAUACUUAAUUCACCUAAGCCUGGUGAGCCAAAGCUUCUCCAACACUGGCUCGCUCACACAGGAGCCUCUCCACUUGCUCCUGCCUCAGUCUUAUUGGCCCUUUCUAAUGAAUCCUGCUCACAGUCCAACUCUGAAAACUACCGUGAGGUGCUGCCUUUUUCAACUAGAUUGAAUCGCCGGCUCUUCUUGUGAUCCCUGGCCAAUGGAGACUCAGCAAACUAAAAGUUUUCAAGGCAGCAACCAUCAUUCCACUGUCAAAGAACCUGCCUAAAUGACUCUCGUCCGGUGGCGUUAACAUCAACCAUUAUGAAAUGGCUGGUCAUGGAGCACAUUGAAGCCUUUCUACUGGCUACACUGGACCCUUGCCAGUUUGCUUAUCACUCUGUCCUGUCCCACCUGGAAAAUAUGGUUUCAUAAUAGGGACCGCUGUUUAUAGACAUUCAACACCAUCAUACCCCAGAAACUGGUAGGGGAAAUGUCCUUGUUGUGUAUCAAACCUCAACAACAACGAUGACGAGAUGGAAUACAGAGAGGAAGUGGAGUGGCUGCUGGAUUGGUGUGACAGGAACAACCCAAGCCCGAGACAACUGCACUGCUCCAAAGGGGCCAUUCUUAACCUCGGCCAUUAGGCUCUAUAUUGCAGCCAGGGAAAUGACCCCCUCGGACGGUGUGAAUGUGCACCCAUUACUGUAUAAUAUUACAGUAAUUCUUGCAUCAUCUUUGAUUUGUAAAUCUGGUACAUCUUAUUCUUAAGGUAACUUUUUAAAAUUCUUUCUUACUUCCCUUCUAAUAUUUGUUUAUCUGUGCACUUGCAAUGCUGCUGUGACACUGUCAUUUCCACUGGGAUCAAUGAAGUGUAAUGCCCUGCCUCACACCUUUACCCUUAUGCUGAGGGUAUUUCACUUAGCAGCUCUGUGAGAUCAGUCUGUUCUGCUUUCAUCCUGUCUGGGUGGUUGUUGAAGAUGAGAGAUGAUGUGGAAUGUGUGCCACUCAACUUGGUGAGGGGCAAUAAGGUUGGUCUUGGGCUUUUGUUCGAGAGGAGAUGAAGAGAGAAGACACUGGCGAGAACCAGUCGUAGAUUACGAUCCAGUGGGAGACCUGUUUGUUGGAGAUGGAUUGCGAGUGAAAUUCAGAAGAUUUCACGUUGACCGAGGGCCCAGAGCGUGAGUGACAGAUGUUAUGCCCGUGGCCCCCUCCUUUUUGAGAAUGGCAGGAUCGCUAUUGAUCCGAGUCAGGAGACCCAGGAAAUGAGAGAAAGACAUGCAGAGUUUGGAAUGUGUCCUGGCCUCCGAAAGGCGGAACCAUUGAUAACGGCUAUUGUCUCUUGGAGACGAACUUGUGUAUUGAAUCCUGUACGAUGCAUCGAAGCCCCCAGGCAAUGAACCAAGAGGGGGCUGGUUGAGGGAUUGCAUCAUCCCACCCUGAUUGACAUCUGAGACCCUGUGAGUCAGGAUAAAAAAGGGUCUGGGGAACAGCCCCUUCAGAUGCACCAGAAGAAACGCUAGCGAUCCCAUAAUAGCAAAAACCGGUGGGAAGGCCACGUGCGUCCGUUUCCAUUUGCCCCGGAAUCGGUGUGCCUUGACCAUGGGAGAACGUUUUUUAGCUAACAACGGGGAAAUCAACUCCCAACGACUCUCGAAGGAUUGACAUCAUAAAAGGACUGGGCAAGUUUUAACCCGUCUUUCUCUCAAACCAGAAAGCUGCAGCUUGAAUGAACUAAAGUGACUUUUAUAUUUCCAUCGGACAAUACAUUAUCCCCUAGACAAUGAUAGAGCUAUUCCUUAUUGAUUAUUAUUAUACCCUCCGCUUUUAGAUUUAGUAUUGACAACGUAUAUUAUCUGUAUGUUUGCAUUGAUAUUAUUUUUGUGUAU